UGCGUAGGCGGCGCGGUAAGUCGGGUGUGAAAUCUCGGGGCUUAACUCCGAAACUGCAUUCGAUACUGCCGUGCUUGAGGACUGGAGAGGAGACUGGAAUUUACGGUGUAGCAGUGAAAUGCGUAGAUAUCGUAAGGAAGACCAGUGGCGAAGGCGGGUCUCUGGACAGUUCCUGACGCUGAGACACGAAGGCCAGGGGGAGCAAACG
rnacentral:rRNA from 1 species